rnacentral:rRNA from 1 species
CCUGAGAAACCCAAAAGAUCGAAUGGGGAGAUUCAUCGUCAGCUCAUUUUAUAUAUAUGUUAGUUAUGAUAUGGGUUACUACUUGUAGUAUUGCCUGUACAUUCUAGUAUAUUUAAUUGUAAGAUGUUGUCGGCGUGCACUUCUCCCCUAGUAGGACGUCGCGACCCGUUGAGUGUUGGUCUACGGCCCAGGUGGAAGCUUUUAGUGAAUUUUAUUCAUUGAAAACCCUUGGUGUUUCCUGACUGGCACUCGUCGGUAUUCGUAUGGUAUUGAGCCGCAUAUUAUAUAUGCGUCCAUAUCUGUCGCAAGCGAGGUUAGUAACUGAUAGUNCGGACCUAGUGCCGUCGUUGGUGCUAAUCAGCUGUUGGUUGUACAGAAUUCUAGGACUGGCUCGUUGAAAUAUACCGGUCAGCGAUGCUACUGCUUUGG